GCAUGAACGGCAAAAUAGUAUGUCAGCUUGCCCUUUCCUGACAGCCCCUCCUCCAACAUGCCAAGCAGUGGAAAAUUUCAUCAGCCAAUGCAUUUUUAAACAAACACUGCAUCCUUGGUUUCAAAGAAGGUGGAAAAAGAAAGGAAGAGAGAGCAGAGGAAAGGAGUGGGUGGUUCUGGGGAGACAGGGGCAUCCGCUACUCUACAGUUGGCUGCUUUCAGAUAGCCAGCUGGCCAGUAUCUGAGGGCAGGCUUGUGAAUUCUCACUUUCCCUGACAGCCCCUCGGGCUCACUCCUGACCGACAGAUUUCUAAGCCAGCCUGUCCACAGGGCAACAUGACCCCUGUGGACAACAACAACUCUGCUUCCUUAACCAACAGAGACCACCAUAAUGGUGAUGGAUGAAGGGAAGGAAGAAGGGAGAGAAGAGAGUGGAAGAGGAAGAAAGAAAGAAAAAAAAAUCUGUAGAAAACUCCAAAAGAAAAAAACAGGUAAUAGAACAUUAUGAUAUGAAUGACAUAAAAAUAUUCUUCAUGUGGACAUGAUAGAAAAGAUAUGAUGGGGAAAAGCGUGUAAUAAAAAAGUGUGCAAUCUUAGUUGGAAAAAAAAAUGUAUCCAAAAACAAAAUGUGGAGGAUGGCUGUUUAUCUAAAUGAGGCUGAAAUUACACAAUUUUUAAAAAUAAUCUUUGUAGAUUUUUUCCAAUAAAAAUCUUGUA